UAGAGUGAGAAAAUAAUUCUAAUCUGUGUUCAAGAUCUUCAACCCAAGAAUACUUACAUCAAAUCACAUCUUCCACUAACUAACUGUGUGACUGACCAAGUCAGAUACUCAGGAAGCCAUCGGCUAGAACCAUAGCUGCUCAUCAGUCAUCAUUACUGAUCCCCUGAAGAACUAGAUCCCCCCCAAAAGGAAAAUCCCCUUGAAGAGGUAAAAUACUGUAGGUUCCUCCUCCUGAUUUUCUUCUUUUGGUCUCUGGAAAUUACACACUCUCUUUGUUGAUUCCAUAAAAUCUCAGUGUUAGAAAGGAUUGGUGAAGUCAUCUCAUUCUACCUGUACCUUAACAGUAAUACUUCCCAAGGUAAAUCUCUAGUAAGGGAAAAUCUACAACCUCCCAAGGCAGAAAAUUUCAUUUUUGUGUAGCUGUACAUGUAAGGAAGACUUUCCUUUCACUAAUACUAAAUUUGCUUCUUUGCAACUUUAACUCAUGCUCCUAGGUCUGCCUUCUAAGUUCCCUGUGCCACUUUUCAAUUUUUCAAAUUAAAGACAGCUUUCACCUUCCUCUCUAUCAUCUAAAUCUUUUCUUUUCCCAUUCCUUUAAUUUAUCCCCAUACAGAUGUUCUUGAGAGUCCACUAUUUAGACUGUCUGGAUAUUCUCCAGUUUAGCAACAUACUACCCAAAUUGUGGUGUCCAGAAUUAAACCCAAGAAAUCAGAUGUGGUUUAAUCAAAGAAUAGAAUGGAAUUCUUGCCUCCCUUGCUUGGACACUAGGCCUUUCUUAAUGUAGACUAAGAUGUUAAUAGCCUUUGUAGUUGCCAUAUUACAUUGUUGACUCAUAUUGACUAUGCAGUCCAGAAAUAGCCCUACAUCUUUUCUCAGAUGAAUUACUGUAUAGUCAUAGUUUCUCUAUCCCAUUUCCCAAAAGAAGCUGAUUAAAAAAAAUAAGACUUUAUGUUUAUCAUCAUUCUAUUUCAUGCUAUUAUCUUUAA